UACGUAGGGGGCAAGCGUUGUCCGGAUUUAUUGGGCGUAAAGAGCGUGUAGGCGGCCAGACAGGUCCGUUGUGAAAACUGGAGGCUUAACCUUCAGACGUCGAUGGAAACCGUCUGGCUAGAGUCCGGAAGAGGAGAGUGGAAUUCCUGGUGUAGCGGUGAAAUGCGCAGAUAUCAGGAAGAACACCAAUGGCGAAGGCAGCUCGCUGGGACGUGACUGACGCUGAGACGCGAAAGCGUGGGGAGCAAACAGG
rnacentral:rRNA from 1 species